rnacentral:tRNA from 1 species
GGGAGAGUGGCCGAGUGGUUAAAAGCGACAGACUGUAAAUCUGCUGAAGGUUUUCUACGUAGGUUCGAAUCCUGCCUUUCCCA